UCGGUAGCUCAGUUGGUAGAGCAACGGAUUGAAGCUCCGUGUGUCGGCGGUUCGAUUCCGUCCCGCGCC
rnacentral:tRNA from 10 species